rnacentral:tRNA from 1 species
CCGCCCCUUGCCGGAUUCGAACCGGCGACCCUUGGAUUCGGCUUCCAAUACGCUUUCCUCUGCGCCAAAGGGG